AUUGAACGCUGGCGGCAGGCCUAACACAUGCAAGUCGAGCGGAUGAAGGGAGCUUGCUCCUGGAUUCAGCGGCGGACGGGUGAGUAAUGCCUAGGAAUCUGCCUGGUAGUGGGGGAUAACGUCCGUAAACGGGCGCUAAUACCGCAUACGUCCCGAGGGAGAAAGUGGGGGAUCUUCGGACCUCACGCUAUCAGAUGAGCCUAGGUCGGUUUAGCUAGUUGGUGGGGUAAAGGCCUACCAAGGCGACGAUCCGUAACUGGUCGGAAGGGAUGAUCAGUCACACUGGAACUGAGACACGGUCCAGACUCCUGCGGGAGGCAGCAGUGGGGAAUAUUGGACAAUGGGCGAAAGCCUGAUCCAGCCAUGCCGCGUGUGUGAAGAGGGUCUUCGGAUUGUAAAGCACUUUAAGUUGGGAGGAAGGGCAGUAAGUUAAUACCUUGCUGUUUUGACGUUACCAACAGAAUAAGCACCGGCUAACUUCGUG
rnacentral:rRNA from 1 species